rnacentral:lncRNA from 1 species
UAUCAAGACUGUCUCUUUCCCGGGCGAUUGAUAUUCGUUCACAAUGGGCAGCAGAACAGAAACACUGGGUUGGAGGAGCCAGGAAAAUCAGUUGUGAAAUGGCAAAAGACAGUAGGAGACUGAAUCCUUAGGACAAAUACAGUGUCUGAGGCCACUGAGGGUCGGGGCAGCAGAACAUUCUGUGGGCAUCUCUGGGGUUGUCCAUCCUGAGUGUUGAGCCCCUCUCUGAGGAGGGGUCCUUGGCCCUGUGGCUCCUUCCUUGCUGCUGAAGUAUCUCAGUGGCUGAGGGUCUGUCCUGCCCCAGGCACCUUGUCCCUUGAACUUAAGUGGCAGACAGUUUAGAGAUGCCCCUGGUUAGGGAGGGCAUGGAGAGCUUUGGUGAGCCUCGGGGGGCUUCAUGGUUUGAGCGGACAUUGUGUGAGGGGCUAAGCAGGGGCUGAGAUCCUGGGAUCCAUCUCUUAGCUCUGCCUCCUUUGAGUGGACUCAGUAACUUAGCAUUGAGAAAGGCGUCUGUGAGGUUCUGAAUGUUCUCUAUAGGGCAGCGAAGUGCAUGUCACAUCUCAGGAAAUGUUCCAACUAAAUUAAUAAUGUUCAAACUUGGAGCAUGGGCUGGGGACAUUUUAUCAGUAUGGCCCCUGGGUAGUUCAGCAGAUGCUAUAGCCCAUAGCCCCUCAAUUCUCCCCAUUUCCUUACAGGUUAAUAAUAAUUUGGUGCUGUGAGCAACUGGGGCUCCCAGCCUGAGGGCCUUCUGCGGCUGCAAGUGUGCUGUCCCGUUCUAGGGCAGGCUGGGAUGCUGGGCAGGGACUGUGCUUGAGGUUCUUGGUGCACCAGGGACUGGCACCCCUUCUGAUCCUGGCUCCAGAAAGCCUGUCUGCUGUGGCAGCCUGGUCCCCUGAGAAGCUGUUACUGCCUCCCCAGGCUGGUUACGCUUCCCGUCCAGCUGGUGCAGCCUGACCUGGGCUGGCCCCUUCCAAUUUGGCCUCAGAGCUUCAAGUCACGCUCUAAGACCCUUGGGCGAUGGCUGAAUAGAUGGAACAAAUAGGCCUGGAUCCUGUUCCCAGCUUUACCUUCCACAAUGCACCUCACUUUCAUGCUGCCUUUAUUUUCACACCAGAAGACCACUGUCUAUGCUUGACUGUCAGGAGGAUUCUUAAAAAUAGCGUUUCUAUGGUGAAACAAUGUCCCUUGUUUGGAAAUACGCAGGGCUUAUAAAAUAUGUUCCUGUGUUUUCCUGGAUCAGGGCAUAUUGCAGAGUCUGGGGAUUUAUUUACAAUGAAGAAAUUGUUUUUGCGAAUUGUGGUUAAACAAAAGGAUUGUUUUUGGAGUGCUCAGUAAAGGAGACAUUGUUUAUUAUAUUAGUUAUUUGGGACACAAGCUGGAAAGGGAUGAUUUUACGGGGAAUGGGAGGGGCGGUCACUGCAUGGAAGCGUCCGUUUCUUGGGGCCAGGCAAGCUCAAAGUAAAACAUUGUUACCUCUGUCAUCCAUCCCGUCUUUUCCCAACUUUAUUUCUGUUCCAGCCCCUACGAAGGAACCUGUAUCAGCUCUUGCCCUGUCCUCAUCCCCCUCGCCUCGGGUGCUGUUGCACUGCCCCUUCCAAAGCCCAGUAAUGAAAGGUUGGCUGUGUGGCCGUCCUUAUCUCGCUCCGAGGCUCUCUGCUUCCAAAGAGCUCUCAGCACUUCGGAGACAGAGUAUCUCCUUCGUCCGCACAAAGUCCCCAAGCAGUGGGGGAACGGAGCGUGUCAGAGUUCACAAGAUGAAAAUAAGAGCCGAGGCCAAAAUCUUUCCACUGUCACGGUCUAUCUUAUGAGCUUUCCCAAGUGGCAAAACUAGGGCACAGAGAGGGAGAGCCACUCGACAAGACCUCAUUCUCUGGAGGAUCCAGGCAGUGGUGUAUCUGCCAUUGGGAAGAUUUGUCCUUACUUUUUUAAGAAAGUUGUCAUCUGCCAGGCCCUAAGCUUGCUGUAUUUUGAUUUUAUUUUUGGGGGAGUAGAACUAACUUCAAUUAUUGGGCAUCUCGGGGUGUGUGGGGGGUAAUGGGGCUGCUUAGCUUAAAGUAGCCACUCCAAAAAUACCAUUUUAAUACCUUAAGAGAACUUGAAGAUUUUUCUCUCUCUCCGGAGCCCUAGUAUA